rnacentral:sRNA from 1 species
GGCGGCGGCGGCGGCGGCUGCUGCAGCUACGAACGGGACCGGAGGAAGCAGCGGGAUGGAGGUGGAUGCAGCAGUAGUCCCCAGCGUGAUGGCCUGUGGAGUGACUGGGAGUGUUUCCGUCGCUCUCCAUCCCCUUGUCAUUCUCAACAUCUCAGACCACUGGAUCCGCAUGCGCUCCCAGGAGGGGCGGCCUGUGCAGGUGAUUGGGGCUCUGAUUGGCAAGCAGGAGGGCCGAAAUAUCGAGGUGAUGAACUCCUUUGAGCUGCUGUCCCACACCGUGGAAGAGAAGAUUAUCAUUGACAAGGAAUAUUAUUACACCAAGGAGGAGCAGUUUAAACAGGUGUUCAAGGAGCUGGAGUUUCUGGGUUGGUAUACCACAGGGGGGCCACCUGACCCCUCGGACAUCCACGUCCAUAAGCAGGUGUGUGAGAUCAUCGAGAGCCCCCUGUUUCUGAAGUUGAACCCUAUGACCAAGCACACAGAUGUGAGUAAUACUCCAUGCCUACUCUGUCAUGAUUGUCACUGUACCUUUUACUGUGUGACACUCCUCUAUUGGGGAAUGCCAGAUGCCACUUACCAGCUGUGACUCUGGCUUAGUCAUUUAAUCUCC